AUGGCGUCAACCAUUCCUGGAAAUCAUUUCUAGGCGCGGGUGAUGGCUUGACCUGCCCCUAGAAAUGGUUAUGCGCAAAAAAAAAUCAUAAAUAUUUCAUAUGGUUUUCGGAUGAAGAUGAACUUUAUAUCAAACAAAUUUUUUAUUUAAAAUUGUUUAGUGGUUCAAAACUCGUUAUAAGUUUAUGAAGAAACACACCCUACCACAUCAGUGAUCCUCACAUCCAAAACCUAGCCCUCCCAUUGGCUGAACCUUCUCUCACCGACUCCCUCUCCUCUUAUCCCUUCCCUCCACCCACUCUUUCUCCUUAUCCAUUC
rnacentral:lncRNA from 1 species